rnacentral:rRNA from 1 species
UACGGGGGGGGCAAGCGUUGUUCGGAAUUACUGGGCGUAAAGGGCUCGUAGGCGGCCAACUAAGUCGGAUGUGAAAUCCCCAGGCUUAACCUGGGAACUGCAUCCGAUACUGGAUGGCUUGAAUCCGGGAGAGGGAUGCAGAAUUCCAGGUGUAGCGGUGAAAUGCGUAGAGAUCGGAAGAACCACAAGCGGCAGGAACG